rnacentral:lncRNA from 1 species
CCAGGAGCAGCCUAGCCCGAGUGACGACAAGAGCUUGAGUGAGUUGCCAGCCCACAGUCAACAUGUGGUCAGCGAGAUUUGUCACAGGAAGUACCCACAGGCCAAGAAGCGGUUGUGGUUGCCCCACUGCAGACUGCUGGAGUGGACCAAAUCCCUUCUUCAGGAACUAGUCAGGCAGAUUCUAUGACUCACCACCAUCAGGGAGCUCCUAGGAGGACUGGCCACCAGCAGCACUCAUCCUGAGAACUCACCAAGUACCAGAGGAUUUCGAGACAAAUGCACCUGCCACGGCCUUGGGGUGCUCAUGUAACACAAUGUCAUGAUCACGGUUGUGCCAG